UACAGAGGUCUCAAGCGUUGUUCGGAUUCAUUGGGCGUAAAGGGUGCGUAGGCGGCGCGGUAAGUCGGGUGUGAAAUCUCGGGGCUUAACUCCGAAACUGCAUUCGAUACUACCGUGCUUGAGGACUGGAGAGGAGACUGGAAUUUACGGUGUAGCGGUGAAAUGCGUAGAUAUCGUAAGGAAGACCAGUGGCGAAGGCGGGUCUCUGGACAGUUCCUGACGCUGAGGCGCGAAGGUUAGGGGAGCAAACGGG
rnacentral:rRNA from 1 species